rnacentral:rRNA from 1 species
GAUGAACGCUGGCGGCGUGCCUAAUACAUGCAAGUCGAGCGAACGGACGAGAAGCUUGCUUUUCUGAUGUUAGCGGCGGACGGGUGAGUAACACGUGGAUAACCUACCUAUAAGACUGGGAUAACUUCGGGAAACCGGAGCUAAUACCGGAUAAUAUUUUGAACCGCAUGGUUCAAAAGUGAAAGACGGUCUUGCUGUCACUUAUAGAUGGAUCCGCGCUGCAUUAGCUAGUUGGUAAGGUAACGGCUUACCAAGGCAACGAUGCAUAGCCGACCUGAGAGGGUGAUCGGCCACACUGGAACUGAGACACGGUCCAGACUCCUACGGGAGGCAGCAGUAGGGAAUCUUCCGCAAUGGGCGAAAGCCUGACGGAGCAACGCCGCGUGAGUGAUGAAGGUCUUCGGAUCUUAAAACUCUGUUAUUAGGGAAGAACAUAUGUGUAAGUAACUGUGCACAUCUUGACGGUACCUAAUCAGAAAGCCACGGCUAACUACGUG